ACCAUGAGAGAGAAACGUUUGAGAAUUGAGAGGAUGCUCCAUUUGUCCAGAGAAAGCUUGUACUUUUCGCCUUGACGGUAUUGAAUGGUAGUAUACUUGUGAUUUGUCAUAGGGAAGUUCAUAGUUGAGAAGUGAAUUUGGAAUAGUCUCCAACUGAAUUUGGUUGCUUCAAUUCAUGGUUUGGCAAAGAUUUUUGGACAAACAUUGAUGGGCCAAGGAGAGAUUUGAUAUCUCCAAGACAUCCGCCAUGAAGUUUUGACAUUUUGCAGUGGUAUCCAUAACCCCAGUUCUGUCACGUAGUAUCAAUGGAAUCAACAAGAUGAGUAUAAUAUGAUAAUAAAUUAGCAAAUUUACUUCCACAAGUUACUACAGGUGCAACUUAACAGUUGUAGAAUGGCUUUUUAUUCUUUUUCUGUACGAGUCUCCUGUAAAGUGAGGAAAAAAAAACAGUACUCUUAUUUGAUUAAUGCACUCAUCAUCCCCGUUCAAAGAACUGGGUUGUAAUCGCUUUCCCCCAAUCAAAAUCCAAAGCAGAGAAAAGAUUUCUGCCUUGGAUCGGGGCCAAUGAGAUUGGUCAUUUUUCUCUGUGUGAUUUAUCAGGCCUGCUUUUACUCUUGGGUUCUCUAGAAGUGGGAUUCAUCAUUCAUGUGUAAAAUUAAGCAGGCGUGCAGGCCGUUAGUAAGGUGGCGAUGGCGAGAUUUUGGUUUGGCUUGCAAAAGGUACUGGAGUUUUGGCUUCGUAUGAGCAAAAAUGGCUGCUUAUGAGGUAUGACUUGUCAGCUGGGUAUGCUUUGGAGAAAAAUAUUCUGAAUGACAUUAGGUUAUGUGGUGACUAAGGUAACAACUUCUUUUAGUUCUUUAUCUAAGUUGAUUGUUUCUUUGUUUGGUUAUUCCUUCGAGCAAUUGUUUUCCCAACUAGUAUAUGAUAUCGACUCCGAACGCGCUCACUAACAUUUUUCUCUGUGGUUCGUGCAUUCUUUGUUCAUAAACAAGCACACAUUUGCAACAUUAUUCUGUGACCCUUUAUUCGAUGAUUUAGUUGCCUUUUCCCAGUCUUGAAGUUCCUGAUCAUGCGUAAGAAUAAUGUUGUUGUUGUCCCCCUAUUCCUAUACAUUUUAUAACUAUGUGCUAAUACAAUUCAAAAAAAAAAAAAACUAUGUGCUACUAAUUUAUGUAGGCAUGCUGCGUAUGGCAAGUGUAUAAGAGUAAGCUGUAAGCAGUUCAAAGUGGGAGAGGAGAGAAACAGGGAGAAAAUUCAGGAACCAUUACUUGAGUUUGAUUUUUUAUGUUAGUAUAGGUUUCUGAAGAUCAUUAUGACCACUGUGAAUUUAUGUUAACAGUACAAAUCCCAGAAUUUUAUUUGUAGAAAUUCCCUUGUUCUCGGAACAAUGUUGAAAACACAAAAUGAAAUCCCUUGGUGAAUCCAUGGCUUUAGGCCAUGCUUUUCAUGAAUCCUUCUAGAAAAAUUCAGUGGCAUAUGGCCACUCUGGAUAAGGUUGUGCACAGGUUAAGAAAAUUGAGGAGGAUGAGGUCUUGAAAGUGGGUUUUACUUUGGGUGGAGGACUUCACUUUAUUGGUGAAAGAAUUUAGUUUGGCUACUGCUGCUACCAGAUAAAUCUUUUCUCCUUCAGGUUUAUGUUACCCUCUUCCUGUUUCUGCUUCUUUCCUGCAGGCAUGUGAACCUGGUUUAUCAUGUCAUAUCUAUAAACAUGUUUUGGAUUUUUCACUUCCAAGUGCUGACUAAUUGGAUUAAUUCUCCCAAGUUGAUAUUCAUGAGCAAUCUUGAAUACUUGUUCCGUAAAAGCUUGUUCCUUAUAUAUGUGGCUACGUGUUUAUAUGACACAAAGGAGCAUUAGUCAUAUGUGAUGAAAAUGAUAAUAGAAGGAUGAACUUUUAGGACAACAUAUUAUGUAUGUUUUCCAUUAUUUUUAAUUAGAUUGAGCAGCAGGUUAUUCCAAUCGCCAUAUAGAAUUGUCGUGCAGUCCUGCCUCUAUGUCAAAACUGCUCUCUAUGUGCCAAAUCUGUAAUCAGCCAUUCUGAUUUUUAGGAUCUUGUUCUGAUUGAUCCUCUGCUAUUCUUCACUUUGAGUUGUGCACUGUAUGGUAUUUAAAGCCAGUAUAAGAGAUCGCCUUCUGAUUUGUAGUUUGAUGCUAAUGUGAGAUAUAGGUUAGGCAUCUGCAUGGAAAUGGCAUUGUUGCAAAGCAUCAUCUUCCUUUUGGCAUAUAUUUGCUAAUUUGUUGCCUCCAAUAUCCUUUUUAGCCUUCUUCCCUUCAGAAAGCCACUAUGACAAUUCUAAUGAAUUUAAAUCUUAAAACUUGAAUCUGUGGAUUAUGAAUGAUUUUCUUACAGUCGAAGUUGUUCUUCAUGUUAUUGAUUGGUAUGGCAUCAUUGUCUGGUUGGAGGUCAAACAUCCAUGAAGUUGGCUAUCCCUAUCCAUCACCCUAUUUAGAUGCUGGACAAACCUUUAUGUGCCAAUAGGACUGUACAUGGAGCCUUCUGGGGUACAUUUCUGGGUCCCAUAGUUGCAGCCGAAGUCAGAGAGUUCAAUGCCUUCCUUAAGAAGUUAAGAAUUGAGCAGCCAAAGAGAGUUUGUGGAAAAGAACGAAGAUGGUGCUCUUGCCAUUGCAAUAGGCAUAGGCUCCUCAUGCAUAUUGAUUAAAAGCUUGUGACACCGUGCUGUUGAGGUUUACCCAAAACAACCUCAAUGGAUUAAGAAGUAUUUAUCUGAUGCAAUUGAAUUUUUGGAGAUGUAGUUUCUGAUAUUGUGGUUCUCUCUCUCUCUCUGGGAUACGGGGUAAGUGAUGUUAACACAUUAGGCAGGCUGGGGUCCAUUCUUGUGACUCCUAUGCAACUCUUUAUUGCUAAAAGCAAAUCGUUGUGUUUCUCAUACAGUGCCAUUUGUGUCCAUAGCAGUUGGGAGAUUGGGAAAAUAUGCUGCCGCACUUGUUAUGCCUGGUAAGUCACUAAUCCCUGAUCUAAGUUUCAGGAAUCAGGUCAUGACACGAUAUGUCAGUUAAGAAAUCUGAUCUUCCUUUUUGAGCAGUGCCAAGGCUAUGAUCUGUUUUUGGGUCCUAAAAUGAACUGCUAAGGUCGUGGCAUUGAUUUUUGGAUUUGCAAUGGCACUUGCCAAUGCUGAAACUUCUGCUAGGCAGAAGCUAAAUCACUGUGUGACUUCCUAUGUAACUAUUCCUUGCUUAAAGCAAAUCGUUGUGUUUCCCACACUGCACCAUUUGUGUCCAUAGCAGUUGGGAGAUUGGCAAAAUAUGCUGCUGCACUUGUUAUGGAUGAUAAGAGGCCAUGAUAUGACAUGUCAGUUAAGAAAGCUGAUCUUCCUUUUUGGGUAAUGCCAAGGCUGUGAUCUGUUUUUGGGUCCUAAAUGAGCUGCUAAGGUUCUUAGCAUUGAUUUUUGGAUUUGCAGUGACACUCACCAAUGCUCAAAUUGCUGCUGGGCAGAAGCUAUAUCACUGUGUGACUUCCUACGUGGCUCUUUCUUGCUUAAGGCAAAUUGUUGUGUUUCUCACAUUGUACCAUUUCUGUCCAUAGCAGUUGGGAGAUUGGCAAAACAUGCUUCAGCACUUAUUAUGGCUGGUAAGUCAUUGAUCCCUGAUCUAAGUUUCAGGAAAGAGGCCAUGACACAACAUGUCAGUUAAGAAGGCUGAUCUUCCUUUUUGAGCAGUGCCAAGGCUCUGAUGUGUUUUUGGAUCCUAAUAUGAACUGCUAAGGUUGUGGCCAUUAUUUUUGGGUUUGCAAUGGCUCUUGCCAAUGCUCAAAUUGCUGCUAGGCAGAAGUUAUGUCACCAGCCAGCCAUGUGUUACUUAGCUUAAAUGCUUUGACAAAUUUCCAUCUUCAAAGUAUUGCAAAGGCUUUCUAAGGGAUAGGAUUCUGGAAAUUUUUUGACAUCUGGGAUUGGUCACUUUCUCAAGCUAAAAGGCAUUCCAGUGGAAUGAGCAUUGGAGAUUCAUGAACAGUGGCUACUGUCAAUUGACAUGGUUGCUAGUGGGCAGAUUGCGUUGAUAAUAACAUCAAGUGCUGGUAAUGCACUUGAUCAGAUUGAUUGCCAAAAAUUAGAGUGAAUGGUUGCUAUGUGCCACUUCCUCUUGACCAGUGCAGAGGUAAGGAGCUCGAAGUCAUACACCAUUGACGUGGUUACUCUUCAAGACUUCUUUGAUGAUGAGUUAGAAGCAGGGGAGGGGGGUUGCCAAAGCUGGCUAUGUGCCACUUCCUGUCCAUGAAUUGAUAGGUAUAUCUGGGAGGAUUGGUUCUCAAUGUUCAAUUUGCAGGGAGCGAUUCUAUAUUCUUUCCUCUAUGUCUGCUUGUUGUGUGAUUCAAUGCUAUGGCCUACAGAAGUAGUUGCGGAGUUAAUAUAAUCGGGUGUGAAAAGUUUGAACUUUCCAUGACAACCUAAACAAAUGGCUAAGUGAAGACUUUUCCGACGUUAAUACUCUUCGUUCCUGAUGCAUCGCUAUCUUAUUUCUAUAGAAAGCGGUCAAGCCGAACCUAACUCAACCAGGGAAUCAAGACUUUCUAGAGACUGGACAUGACAAUAAUUGACCUUGGGCUGAUGAACGGUUUAUGAUAAGCAUCCAUGAACAUCAUACUUAUUUUGAAAAGAAAAAUUUUGUUCUUGAUUGCAUGCCCCCAGCAGCCUGAGCAAGGAUCUAGAACAAUGUUGAAUUUUUUGGAGUUUAAUCUCGGCUGUGCUCCUCAUCAACCCUGGCUUCACACCAAAAUUAAUUUUGGUUUAAAUGUUAACGGAAGUUCAUUUGUAGAGCUUGAUCAACCUUUCCCGGGCUGAAUAUAUCUUGGAUUAUGGGUCAAACCCGUAGUCCAGGUCCUUGGUAAAUUUU